rnacentral:rRNA from 1 species
GGGGGGGGGGGGGGGGGGGGGGGGGGGAUGGGAGGCGGACGGGAGGGCCCUGCUUGUGGGGGGUGCUCGAGUGGCGAACGGGGGAGUAACGCGUGAGGAACCUGCCCUUGACUUGGGGGGAACUUCAGGAAACUGGGGCUAAUACCGGAUAGGAGCUCCUGCUGCAUGGUGGGGGGUGGAAAGGUUCGGCGGUUGGGGAUGGAAUCGCGGCUUAUCAGCUUGUUGGUGGGGUAGUGGCUUACCAAGGCUUUGACGGGUAGCCGGCCUGAGAGGGUGACCGGCCACAUUGGGACUGAGGUACGGCCCAGACUCCUACGGGAGGCAGCAGUGGGGAAUAUUGCACAAUGGGCGGAAGCCUGAUGCAGCACCGCCGCGUGCGGGAUGACGGCCUUCGGGUUGUAAACCGCUUUCGCCUGUGACGAAGCGUGAGUGACGGUAAUGGGUAGAGAAGCACCGGCUAACUACGUG